rnacentral:lncRNA from 1 species
GGGGGCGGCUGCGCGCUGACGGUGUCACUUCCACUAUUUCUACACAGCCCUGAGAACGCAGCCAUGGGAAAGCACUGCCGGGUGGCAGCAUUGGGGGCUGCCGGCAUGAACUGCACGGGGUGUUUGGCACGGAUAGGCACACGGGGGGGGAUAUGGGGGGGGGAUAUGGGGGCACUCACCAUCAGGCCGGCCUCCACGGUGGGCACCAGCGUCAGUUUGCUGCCUUCCACCACCCCCAGGUCCUGCAGCUUCCCGGAGCUGAGGCGGCUGUCUUUGUGCAGCAGCGCCAGGCGCUCCUUGGGCACCUUAAGGCGCUGCGACAGCCGCCGUUUCAGCCCCUCCACCGUCUCGUCCGGAGGAACGGCCACUUCGUAACGCGCUCCGGUCGUGGUGUGGAUGCAGAGGUGGACGGGGCGCUCCGCGGGGAGAGGGUCGCAGGGGGCGGCCCCGCGGCUGCAGCUCCGAGCGCCGGGCUGCGGCUCCAUGCGGCCUGCGGGGGGGGGGGGGGCGGGGGGAAGGGGGGAGGGAAGGGAGAGGGGAGGGGAGGGGGGGGUCAGUCGGUCGGUGCGGGACAAAGAGCGGCGGACGCGGGGAGCGCCGAAGCGAGCGGUGCGGGGGGGGACCCUCCGGGGGGCCGCGUUCCCAGCGGAGAACGAUUUAAGGAAUGGAGAUCGAAAUCCUUCCUUCCCCCCCCCCGAAUGUGAAUAAUAAAUCCCGGCGCGGGUCGGGUCGGGUCGAGUCGAGUCGGGGGGGGUUCGGAGCGGAGCGGUGCGGGAGGAUGGCGGUGCAGCGCCCGGGGCCGGACCCGCCGAACCGGCAGCGCCGCGCACAGCCCUGCGAGCGCCGGGGGGGCGGGGGGCGGGGGCAGCUCCAAUGUAGCAACGUCCCGGGGGCGGAGCCUCGCCCUCAUUCACUCCGGCUCCUCCGGCCGUCCCGACCAAUCCGCGCCCGCACGGUUCUCCGACAUCCGCGGGUUCGGCCAAUGGGAGGAGAGGUUCGCUUCCCCACGUGGCAAAGUGUGGGCGGGGCCGUCCGGAUUCCUCCGCCCACGCGGCUUUAGGCCACGCCCCCUCCGCCCCCCGCGCGCCCUCGCGCCGCUCCGCGCGGCCAUUCAUAAUCCGCGGCCGCACAACAAAGGGCCCCGCACGGAGCGGGGGGGGGGCGGAAAGCGGCGGCACCGCGCGGCGCCGGUGGGGCGAAAGGCCCCGAGAGGGGAACGCGGAGCACCGGGAGGAGCGCUCCCCCCACAGCCCACGCCAGGAGCCCCCACCCGGGAAGCGGAGCCGCGAGCCCGAGUGACGCGGGGCGGAAAGGGCGGAGGGGGAACGGCACAGCCGCCGCACCCGGCGCCCCUCCCCGCACCGCCCGGUACCGCCGUUGGGAAGGGCUCCUCCCGCCCGCAGCGCCCCGGCCCGGGGGGAGCGGCCACGGCGGCACCGGGGGGGGCCAUGAGUCAGCACGGCGCGCGCGCCCUCUGCCGGCCCCGCCGCUCCCGAGGGGGGGCACAGCGCCCGGAGCCCCCGCAGCGCCGUUCCGCCCCGCGGUUCCACGGGGCUGGAGGGGGGGUGGGGGGGACGGAGCGGCGCGGCCCCUCCCGGCAAUGAGGGCAAAGCCCCGACGACGUCCCCGCACCCCGGACGCUCGUGGGACCCCCCCCUCAACCCCUCCGUAAAUAAAAAGCACCCAUCCGCGCUGAAACCCCUCCACGGAGCCGCCCCGCGCCGCUCAGCCCCGCUCCCCGUCCGGCACUCACCGAGCCCGGAGCGCUGCCCCGCGGAUCCCGUUGCGAUCAGAGCUCGGCUGCCUCCGGCGGCACCGGGGGAAGAAACGGCGGAAAAAUAAUAAAAAAAAAGGCCCUAAAAGUUCCGGGAGGGCGCGGGCGGAGCGGUGCCCCCGAAGCGCUGCCCCGUGCCGAGCGGUCGGAGCGCAGCCUGACGCGGAACCGCCGGGGAGGUGCCCCAAGUUUUAUCCCGCACCGCCCAGGGUGGAGCCUGCCGGGGGCAGGGACCGGCCUGGCCCCGCACCGGCCCCGCCAGCGGCCUCGGCGCGGCCGCACCUGCUCCCGGAGGGAGGGAGGAACGGAGAGACGGGGGGGCCGCCUCCGCCCGGCGCCGGGGAGGGGACGGCCCGAGGUCGGAUCGUUGGGAGCCCCUCGAGCGGUCCCGGAGGGGUUGCGGGGCUCGGGGCGGGCGUAGCGCUGGCGGUGCUCGCGAAUCCGGGCCGCUCUCCCCACGGAGAACGGGGCGCGGGUGGGGGUCGGGGCCGGCAACCCCCCCCGGGAGCUGCGCGCCGGGACCGCGGGCUUCCGCCUGACCCCGCGCUGCCCCCGCCGGGCUCCCGCCCGCAGACAAUGCCCCGCAACGCGCGGAGGGACACAAAGAGGCCGCGGGAGGAGAUGGCCGCGCACCCCCCGUCCCCUCGAGGCAGCAGCGCACGGAGCCCCGGGGGAUGUCGGAACCCCGCGGCUGUCGGGGCCGUUCAGUGCCGGCUGGGAGCGGGGGCCCCUCGGGCAGAGGGAGAGCCUUUGUGGCACAGCCCCGCGCCCCCCGCCCGGCCCGGCCCCGCGGGCUCUCGGGGGGAGAUGAGCUCAGGCUCCGCUGUGCCAUUGUCCCCGGGAGAGGGCCGGGCCGGGCCGCGCCAUUGUUCUCCCCGGGCCGCUCGGCCGCCCCUCCGGCGAUCACAGCGCUGCGUGGGUGAAAAACCCCACGGGGACGCGGCUGUGGGGACCCCCGGAGCCACGUCGUCACGGAGCGGGGCCUCUCCCGACCCCACGGUUGAGGUCCGCGGGGGGCCGAAGGGACGUGGCGGCCGAGGGGCAGCGCUCGGUGAUGGCGCGGGCUGUGUUGGAGCACCCGAUGCCCCGCGGCGGUGCCCGCCCCGCAGCCCCCAACCCCGCAAUGCCGCCCCCCCGGAGCACCCGUAGCACGCAGCUGCGGGCGGUGCGUGUGGCUGCGGGUUCAGGUGAAGGCAUCCGGAGCCUCCAGAGACGGUGCCGGGAGAUCCCAGGGCUCCCAGCAGCCCCGAUUUUGUGUGUUUAGUUUAUUGGGUUGCCCUGGGAAUAAAUCGUUAACGACGACGCUCAGACUCGGGCAUUAAUCGCUGUGCCGCAUCGGAGGUCUCCAGAGGGAACGUUCCCCAAACCCCACACCGGAGCUGCUGGGGGAGAGACGACGCGGUGAGCAAACAGCGAUGUGAGUCCCACUGCUGUGCGGCGCUCCCCGCUGCGCCCCGCGCUCCGCCCCCCACCCGUGAGCCGCGGCAGAGGGGAUGUGGGGUCCCAGAGGACACCGCCGCAGGGCCCGUCCCCACUGCAGGGGCUGAGCCGGGGCACUGAUGGCAUCUCCGCAUCUCCCAGGAGCCCAAACCUCAGCGGGGUUCUUGGAAGUGCUGUCCCUCGAAGGAAGGGAGUUCCCAGGGCUCCUUCUUUGGGGAAAUCCCCCACCAGCCCCGGGCUGCAGCUUUGCUCUUUGCUCUUUCCUCCCUCCCCUCUCUCUCUCUCUCUCUCUCUCCUCUUUCUGUUUUGUUUCGUUGUGUUUUGCUUUGCUUUUUUUUUUUUUUUCCUUCCCCUUUUGGACCGAAUUCCUGUCUGAUUUUGCAGCUUUGGCAAACGAGGGUUUUAUCGCAAGUCUCUGCAUUCCCCUCGCAGGCGUGGGGUCAUGGGAUUAGGGCAGAGAGUGAGGGAAGAGGGAAGGAGGGGAGCAGGGGCUGCUGCUGCAGAGCAAAGCAGGGAUGGAGCCCGGGGGACCCGGGGGGGGAGGGGGGAUUGGGGACCCUUUUCCCAGCGCCACCAUUGAGCCCCCGACCCGGAGCGGAGCGGUGCCACCCCCCCAUAGGGUGCAGGGCCGGUGUGGGGCACGCGGUGCUGAGUUCCAGCAGUGAGUGGGAGCGUUCCCACGGGCUCAGGGCCAGCAAUAGGGCUCACAGACACACCCCAGCAGCGCCGUGCAGCCGAACCGCUUCACCCCUACCCAUCCCGGCCCAUAUAGGGGGAGGGGGGGGAAGGGGAGGUGUGGGGUUUGCAGUGGGGUCACAGCCCCCAGAGCCCCCCCUGGGAUGAGCAGCUCAGCCCCUGAGUCACAGCAAUGAUGGUGAUUUGUGUCACCAUGGAGGGCUCAGGUGAGCUGUGCGGUCAGGACUGGCAGCCCCCCCCCCACCCCCCCCAGCUCUGGGCACGACCCCAAGCAGACCCCCCCCCCCCACCCGGUAGGGCUGGGGGUGCUGUGGGGUGGGUGGGGUCUCUUUGGGCAGCGCUGCGUGACGCUGACGGGCUGUGAACACCCAGGUGUGUCCUUAGAAACGCACAGUCGGCUCCGCGUGUUUCCCAGCCCUUGGGAACGUGUCCUGGUGGCCCCCGGCGGCGUGUCCGGGUGUCACUCCUGGGGACACCUCGGCAGCCGGACCUGCUGACGCAGCCCAGCCUCACCUCUGGGGCUGUGGGUGAGCUCACGGCCCCUCGGAACGCCGCGCUCCGUCCGCGGUGACGCAGGAGAGCAGCUCCAUGCCAGCCCUGGCACGCAGCCGACCCCGGGCAGCACCACCCCUCGGCCCCGAGCACCGGGGCUGCGAUUUGGCUGCUUCCCUCCGUUGGCAUCGGUGCAGCCCGGCUCUGCUCAGCCUCAGCGCUGGAAACGUAGGCUCCCAGCCCUGCCAGGACGGGGGGGCUGCGGGGACCCCUCCUCGUGCUGUGGGAUGCGGAGCCCCCGAUCCCGACGGCCCCUUUGCAGCUCUGCAGCACCCCACGGUGGGAUCCGUCCCCGUCCGAUCCACUGCACACGGCUGCUCCUCAGCCACUGCCACAUCG